GAUGAACGCUGGCGGCGUGCCUAAUACAUGCGAGUCGAGCGAACGGACGAGAAGCUUGCUUCUCUGAUGUUAGCGGCGGACGGGUGAGUAACACGUGGAUAACCUACCUAUAAGACUGGGAUAACUUCGGGAAACCGUAGCUAAUACCGGAUAAUAUUUUGAACCGCAUGGUUCAAAAGUGAAAGACGGUCUUGCUGUCACUUAUAGAUGGAUCCGCGCUGCAUUAGCUAGUUGGUAAGGUAACGGCUUACCAAGGCAACGAUGCAUAGCCGACCAGAGAGGGUGAUCGGCCACACUGGAACUGAGACACGGCCCAGACUCCUACGGGAGGCAGCAGUAGGGAAUCUUCCGCAAUGGGCGAAAGCCUGACGGAGCAACGCCGCGUGAGUGAUGAAGGUCUUCGGAUCGUAAAACUCUGUUAUUAGGGAAGAACAUAUGUGUAAGUAACUGUGCACAUCUUGACGGUACCUAAUCAGAAAGCCACGGCUAACUACGUG
rnacentral:rRNA from 1 species